CGGCCUGUCCUGGGAUGUUACAUUGAUAACAGAGGUCUUCUGGUCUCUGGUCUACCAGCAUCGGUCUCUGAUGGUAGAGAUGUCUGGGUCGGCCUGUCCUGGGAUGUUACAUUGAUAACAGAGGUCUUCUGGUCUCUGGUCUACCAGCAUCGGUCUCUGAUGGUAGAGAUGUCUGGGUCUGCCUGUCCUGGGAUGUUACAUUGAUAACAGAGGUCUUCUGGUCUCUGGUCUACCAGCAUCGGUCUCUGAUGGUAGAGAUGUCUGGGUCUGCCUGUCCUGGGAUGUUACAUUGAUAACAGAGGUCUUCUGGUCUCUGGUCUACCAGCAUCGGUCUCUGAUGGUAGAGAUGUCUGGGUCUGCCUGUCCUGGGACUUUACAUUGAUAACAGAGGUCUUCUGGUCUCUGGUCUACCAGCAUCGGUCUCUGAUGGUAGAGAUGUCUGGGUCGGCCUGUCCUGGGACUUCACAUUGAUAACAGAGGUCUUCUGGUCUCUGGUCUACCAGCAUCGGUCUCUGAUGGUAGAGAUGUCUGGGUCGGCCUGUCCUGGGAUGUUACAUUGAUAACAGAGGUCUUCUGGUCUACCAGCAUCGGUCUCUGAUGGUAGAGAUGUCUGGGUCGGCCUGUCCUGGGAUGUUACAUUGAUAACAGAGGUCUUCUGGUCUCUGGUCUACCAGCAUCGGUCUCUGAUGGUAGAGAUGUCUGGGUCGGCCUGUCCUGGGAUGUUACAUUGAUAACAGAGGUCUUCUGGUCUCUGGUCUACCAGCAUCGGUCUCUGAUGGUAGAGAUGUCUGGGUCGGCCUGUCCUGGGACUUCACAUUGAUAACAGAGGUCUUCUGGUCUCUGGUCUACCAGCAUCGGUCUCUGAUGGUAGAGAUGUCUGGGUCGGCCUGUCCUGGGAUGUUACAUUGAUAACAGAGGUCUUCUGGUCUCUGGUCUACCAGCAUCGGUCUCUGAUGGUAGAGAUGUCUGGGUCUGCCUGUCCUGGGAUGUUACAUUGAUAACAGAGGUCUUCUGGUCUCUGGUCUACCAGCAUCGGUCUCUGAUGGUAGAGAUGUCUGGGUCUGCCUGUCCUGGGACUUCACAUUGAUAACAGAGGUCUUCUGGUCUCUGGUCUACCAGCAUCGGUCUCUGAUGGUAGAGAUGUCUGGGUCGGCCUGUCCUGGGAUGUUACAUUGAUAACAGAGGUCUUCUGGUCUUCUGGUCUACCAGCAUCGGUCUCUGAUGGUAGAGAUGUCUGGGUCGGCCUGUCCUGGGAUGUCACAUUGAUAACAGAGGUCUUCUGGUCUUCUGGUCUACCAGCAUCGGUCUCUGAUGGUAGAGAUGUCUGGGUCGGCCUGUCCUGGGACUUUACAUUGAUAACAGAGGUCUUCUGGUCUCUGGUCUACCAGCAUCGGUCUCUGAUGGUAGAGAUGUCUGGGUCGGCCUGUCCUGGGAUGUUACAUUGAUAACAGAGGUCUUCUGGUCUCUGGUCUACCAGCAUCGGUCUCUGAUGGUAGAGAUGUCUGGGUCGGCCUGUCCUGGGACUUCACAUUGAUAACAGAGAUCUUCUGGUCUUCUGGUCUACCAGCAUCGGUCUCUGAUGGUAGAGAUGUCUGGGUCGGCCUGUCCUGGGAUGUUACAUUGAUAACAGAGGUCUUCUGGUCUCUGGUCUACCAGCAUCGGUCUCUGAUGGUAGAGAUGUCUGGGUCUGCCUGUCCUGGGACUUCACAUUGAUAACAGAGGUCUU